UACGUAGGGCGCAAGCGUUGUCCGGAAUUAUUGGGCGUAAAGAGCUCGUAGGCGGCUUGUCACGUCGGGUGUGAAAGCCCGGGGCUUAACCCCGGGUCUGCAUUCGAUACGGGCAGGCUAGAGUGUGGUAGGGGAGAUCGGAAUUCCUGGUGUAGCGGUGAAAUGCGCAGAUAUCAGGAGGAACACCGGUGGCGAAGGCGGAUCUCUGGGCCGAUACUGACGCUGAGGAGCGAAAGCGUGGGGAGCAAAUAGG
rnacentral:rRNA from 1 species